ACGCUCGACACCUACGGGAGCAGCAGUGGGGAAUAUUGCACAAUGGGGGAAACCCUGAUGCAGCGACGCCGCGUGAGCGAAGAAGUAUUUCGGUAUGUAAAGCUCUAUCAGCAGGGAAGAAACUGACGGUACCUGACUAAGAAGCACCGGCUAAAUACGUGCCAGCAGCCGCGGUAAGUACUGAGCGGGCGUGGCGAAGGACG
rnacentral:rRNA from 1 species